rnacentral:rRNA from 1 species
ACGAACCGUACGAACGUUAUUCGGAAUUACUGGGCUUAAAGGGUGCGUAGGCGGCGCAGUAAGUUGGGUGUGAAAUCCCUCGGCUUAACCGAGGAAUUGCGCCCAAAACUACUGUGCUCGAGGGAGAUAGAGGUGAGCGGAACUUAGGGUGGAGCGGUGAAAUGCGUUGAUAUCCUAAGGAACACCGGUGGCGAAAGCGGCUCACUGGAUCUCUUCUGACGCUGAGGCACGAAAGCUAGGGUAGCAAACGGGA